rnacentral:rRNA from 1 species
UGGGGAAUCUUGGACAAUGGGGGCAACCCUGAUCCAGCCAUGCCGCGUGAGUGAUGAAGGCCUUAGGGUCGUAAAGCUCUUUCGCCUGUGAAGAUAAUGACGGUAGCAGGUAAAGAAACCCCGGCUAACUCCGUGCCAGCAGCCGCGGUAAUACGGAGGGGGUUAGCGUUGUUCGGAAUUACUGGGCGUAAAGCGCACGUAGGCGGACCAGAAAGUUGGGGGUGAAAUCCCGGGGGCUCAACCCCGGAACUGCCUCCAAAACUAUUGGUCUAGAGUUCGAGAGAGGUGAGUGGAAUUCCAAGUGUAGAGGUGAAAUUCGUAGAUAUUUGGAGGAACACCAGUGGCGAAGGCGGCUCACUGGCUCGAUACUGACGCUGAGGUGCGAAAGUGUGGGGAGCAAACAGGAUUAGAUACCCUGGGUAGUCC